rnacentral:rRNA from 1 species
GUGACAGGUGGUGCAUGGUUGUCGUCAGCUCGUGUCGUGAGAUGUUGGGUUAAGUCCCGCAACGAGCGCAACCCUUAAGCUUAGUUGCCAGCAUUAAGUUGGGCACUCUAAGUUGACUGCCGGUGACAAACCGGAGGAAGGUGGGGAUGACGUCAAAUCAUCAUGCCCCUUAUGAUUUGGGCUACACACGUGCUACAAUGGACAAUACAAAGGGCAGCUAAACCGCGAGGUCAUGCAAAUCCCAUAAAGUUGUUCUCAGUUCGGAUUGUAGUCUGCAACUCGACUACAUGAAGCUGGAAUCGCUAGUAAUCGUAGAUCAGCAUGCUACGGUGAAUACGUUCCCGGGUCUUGUACACACCGCCCGUCACACCACGAGAGUUUGUAACACCCGAAGCCGGUGGAGUAACCAUUUAUGGAGCUAGCCGUCGAAGGUGGGACAAAUGAUUGGGGUGAAGUCGUAACAAGGUAGCCGUAUCGGAAGGUGCGGCUGGAUCACCUC